rnacentral:rRNA from 1 species
GGGCCCGCACAAGCGGUGGAUUAUGUGGUUUAAUUCGAUGAUACGCGAGGAACCUUACCAAGGCUUAAAUGGGGAUUGACGUGCUUAGAAAUAGGUAUUUCUUCGGACAAUUUUCAAGGUGCUGCAUGGUUGUCGUCAGCUCGUGCCGUGAGGUGUUAGGUUAAGUCCUGCAACGAGCGCAACCCCUGCCAACAGUUGCCAUCAUUCAGUUGGGGACUCUGUUGGGACUGCCUGCGCAAGCAGUGAGGAAGGUGGGGAUGACGUCAAAUCAUCACGGCCCUUACGCCUUGGGCCACACACGUAAUACAAUGGCCGGUACAGAGGGCAGCUACACUGCGAAGUGAUGCGAAUCUCGAAAGCCCGGUCUCAGUUCGGAUUGGAGUCUGCAACUCGACUCUAUGAAGCUGGAAUCGCUAGUAAUCGCGCAUCAGCCAUGGCG